rnacentral:rRNA from 1 species
CGCGUGUACUGGUCCGGCCGGGCCUUUCCCUCUGUGGAACCCCAUGCCCUUCACUGGGUGUGGCGGGGAAACAGGACUUUUACUUUGAAAAAAUUAGAGUGCUCCAGGCAGGCCUAUGCUCGAAUACAUUAGCAUGGAAUAAUAGAAUAGGACGUGUGGUUCUAUUUUGUUGGUUUCUAGGACCGCCGUAAUGAUUAAUAGGGACAGUCGGGGGCAUCAGUAUUCAAUUGUCAGAGGUGAAAUUCUUGGAUUUAUUGAAGACUAACUACUGCGAAAGCAUUUGCCAAGGAUGUUUUCAUUAAUCAGGAACGAAAGUUAGGGGAUCGAAGACGAUCAGAUACCGUCGUAGUCUUAACCAUAAACUAUGCCGACUAGGGAUCGGACGAUGUUAUUUUUUGACUCGUUCGGCACCUUACGAGAAAUCAAAGUGCUUGGGCUCCAGGGGGAGUAUGGUCGCAAGGCUGAAACUUAAAGAAAUUGACGGAAGGGCACCACCAGGGGUGGAGCCUGCGGCUUAAUUUGACUCAACACGGGGAAACUCACCAGGUCCAGACACGGGUGGGAUUGACAGAUUGAGAGCUCUUUCUUGAUUCUGUGGGUGGUGGUGCAUGGCCGUUCUUAGUUCGUGGAGUGAUUUGUCUGGUUAAUUCCGUUAGCGGACGAGACCUUAACCUGCUAACUAGUUCCGCUCCCAGUCGACCCCGACGGCGGAGACUUCUUAGAGGGACUAUGCGG